rnacentral:lncRNA from 10 species
AGAUGCUUUUGGACCCAAUGGGAGGCAUUGUGAUGACCAAUGAUGGCAAUGCCAUUCUUCGAGAGAUUCAAGUCCAGCAUCCAGCGGCCAAGUCCAUGAUCGAAAUUAGCCGGACCCAGGAUGAAGAGGUUGGAGAUGGGACCACAUCAGUAAUUAUUCUUGUCUCACUCUGUCACCAUGCUGGAGUGUGGUGGUGCGAUCUUGGCUCACUGCAACCUCUGCCUCCCAGGUUCAAGCGAUUCUCCUGCCUCAGCCUCCCAAGUAGCUGGGACUAUAGUCACGUGCCACCACGCCCAGCUAAUUUUUGUAUUUUUAGUAGAGACAGGGUUUCACCAUGUUGGCCAGAUGGUCUCGAUCUCUUAACCUCGUGAUCCGCCCUCCUUGGCCUCCCAAAGUGCUGGGAUUACAGGCGUGAGCCACCACGCCUAUAAAGUCACCACAAACACUGAAUUGGCAAAUAAUAAAUCAUUGCUUCUAUAGGAAAUACAGGGUUAGAUACCUAUAAGCCUCUGGUCACACUUUCAUCAACUGAUAAAUAUAUACCUUAUUGUAUGUGUUUGUCUUCAAGACACCCAUUUAAUAUAUAUAGUUGAUUUAUUAGCAUUGAACUCAUAGCCCAUAGCAAUAUAACUCAUGCCUGGACAAAGCUCACCUAACGUAUUUUCUCUGUAAGGCACAUCACAGCCUUCUUGCACAUAGAAGCAUUAGCUAGCACUUAAGCACUACACUUGUGAGCCAUUAUAAAUACCGAAAUCAUCAAGAAAAAUGUGAAAAACAUAACCUUAAAUAUACUGCAUAAAGGACACUUUUUUUUACAGUGUGAGAGCUAAAGGCCUUGUUUAACCUCACCUAGGAAUGUCAUUGGGUGACUCAAAUUUUUUGCCAUUCUGUGAAUUUCCAUGAAUGACUAUGAAAGUGUCAUGAAUGUUGAUUUUGGGGUUACAAAUAAUAAGAAAUGAAAUCUUUAGGAUAAUGACCCUGGGCUAUGUAAGUUUAAAGACUAAUCUUUCUACUUCCUAUAGGAUCAUAAAGAAUUAUUUU